AGCGGCGGACGGGUGAGUAACGCGUGGGUAACCUGCCUCAUACAGGGGGAUAACAGUUGGAAACGGCUGCUAAUACCGCAUAAGCGCACAGUACCGCAUGGUACGGUGUGAAGAACUCCGGUGGUAUGAGAUGGACCCGCGUCUGAUUAGGUAGUUGGUGGGGUAACGGCCUACCAAGCCGACGAUCAGUAGCCGACCUGAGAGGGUGACCGGCCACAUUGGGACUGAGACACGGCCCAA
rnacentral:rRNA from 1 species